CAGCAAGUGUGGAGCCAAACAGAGUACGGUGCAUAGACUGUUUUUUUUUCUCGUUAGUUUUCAUGGCUAAAAUGAGAGAUCAGGUGGCUGAUCUUAAAAUAAAUCAAUACUGAAUUUUUUAUAGAGCGUUAAAGUUUUGCGAAGCCAGGGGGCGGGGCUACUUGAUUGACAGUCUGGUCUGGAAUGAUUGACAGGUCCUAUGGAGGAGGCAGCAGAGACUCUGCUCGCCUGGUUUGGAUUAAUUCUGAUAUAAUAACUGUUGGUUUAUUUAUCGGUGGAGCAGCAGAACAUUUUCCACAGACAGUUUUCCUGCCCGUUGGCUUGUUUUAACUAGUUUUCUGCCUUCGGCUGAUUCUACCAGCAGACACUGAAAGGACUCUGAUAGUUUGGUGUCUCAUAUUCACUGUGAGGAUCUUCUGAGUGAAGCCAGCAGAAGGAAAACCUCAUCUGGAUGUGAAGAAGGAGACUGAAUGGACGACAUCCUCAGUGAACCACUUGAGUGAAAGUAACAGUUCCUCCUGAAGGUCAGAGGUUGCAGCAUCUGAGGGCCUCUUCAAAAGAAGACGUAGUUGAUGAAGGCGUUCUGGAGCAGGACCAGAAAGACCACGACCAAGCAGCCUUGAGAUCUUAGGCAGCGUCUCCCUCAGACCAAAGAACUACAGACUCUUCACAACCUGCUUAAACUCUUGGUACAGGACCUCACCACACGGGUCAAGAAGGUUUCUGUCUCAUUUCUACUCUGAAGCUCACCUUCUCCUGCUCAAACUGCUGACAAAUGUUUCUGCUGCUCUAAAGUCUGGUCUCCAGAACUUCCUAAAAACUCUCAAAGUCUCUUCUGCUGCAGGUUGCUUUGUAGAACUGUUGCAGAAAACCUCACUAAACCACAUGGAGGGGGCUCAAGAUAGUCGUCCAAAUGAAACAGUACAAAAACCAAACUAGCACAACCCAAACGCUAAAGUCUCCUGCAGCCUACCAGAGAACCUCUGAGAACAGAGAAUCAGGACAGGAACUCUUACCUUCUGGACAACCAACGCUGGUUCUCAAACAAGAAUACAGAAUGUGUCUGACCAAAAACCUCUGAAGACUCACUACAGCCAAGACAAAGACACAACUCAGCUGCACCAAAUCCACUAAUCACUGCACACAUUAGCACCAUGUGCUAACUGUGGCUAAAGAACCACAUUUACCAAGACAACUAUCCAGUACAAAGCCCUAAAACACACCAAGAAACACAUUAAAGACGAUUUUACUGCUGGAAGCUGCAAGCCAACGUCUAAAGAACAAACUAAAGCAAUGGAGCCAAACCCGGUUCAGUGGUGAAGAGAAGCAGAGGAAAUGUUUGUCUGCAGCUAAAUAAAGCAGGAAGACACUGAGCUGCUCAGGUGUUCCUGAUAACACCAAGCAGCCACCUGGACAGCCAAUAGGAACACAGCUUACUGGAAGUCCAGAGGGCUGGGUUAGUGAAGGAAAUUUAGUUUAAAGUUGAAGCAGAAAGUUAACAAAGAAAGUUGAAAACCACCUUCUGAUACCUGAAAUCUCUGAGUUUUUACACAAAGAACGCCUGAACAUGUCAAACUGGUUCCAUAGUAGAACCCUCAUUGUAAAAACGUCAUAGUAUGG
ensembl:lncRNA